rnacentral:rRNA from 1 species
UACGUAGGGGGCAAGCGUUGUCCGGAUUUAUUGGGCGUAAAGAGCGUGUAGGCGGCCAAACAGGUCAGCUGUGAAAACUCGAGGCUCAACCUCGAGACGUCGGUUGAAACCGUUUGGCUAGAGUCCGGAAGAGGAGAGUGGAAUUCCCGGUGUAGCGGUGAAAUGCGCAGAUAUCGGGAAGAACACCCGUGGCGAAGGCGGCUCUCUGGGCCGGUACUGACGCUGAGGAGCGAAAGCGUGGGGAGCGAACAGG